GCUGUGGAACUCCUACGGGAGGCAGCAGCGGGGAAUAUUGCACAAUGGGCGCAAGCCUGAUGCAGCGACGCCGCGUGAGGGAUGACGGCCUUCGGGUUGUAAACCUCUUUCAGUAGGGAAGAAGCGAAAGUGACGGUACCUGCAGAAGAAGCGCCGGCUAACUACGUGCCAGCAGCCGCGGUAAUACGUAGGGCGCGAGCGUUAUCCGGAAUUAUUGGGCGUAGAGAGCUCGUAGGCGGUUUGUCGCGUCUGCCGUGAAAGUCCGGGGCUUAACCCCGGAUCUGCGGUGGGUACGGGCAGACUAGAGUGCAGUAGGGGAGACUGGAAUUCCUGGUGUAGCGGUGAAAUGCGCAGAUAUCAGGAGGAACACCGAUGGCGAAGGCAGGUCUCUGGGCUGUAACUGACGCUGAGGAGCGAAAGCGUGGGGAGCAAACAGGAUUAGAUACCCCAGUAGUCCUACCACGU
rnacentral:rRNA from 1 species